UACAGUGCUGUGAUAAACGUAAACUACUAAAAAAAGGGAAAGUUUUUAAAAAAAGAUUUGACAAGUACCCUGAGUGGGUUAGCCUCUAUAGAAGACAUUUUCCCUGCCCUGAAGACUUUACAA